GACGAACGCUGGCGGCGUGCUUAACACAUGCAAGUCGAACGGAAAGGCCCUUCGGGGUACUCGAGUGGCGAACGGGUGAGUAACACGUGGGUGAUCUGCCCUGCACUUUGGGAUAAGCCUGGGAAACUGGGUCUAAUACCGAAUAGGACCGCAUGCUUCAUGGUGUGUGGUGGAAAGCUUUUGCGGUGUGGGAUGGGCCCGCGGCCUAUCAGCUUGUUGGUGGGGUAAUGGCCUACCAAGGUGACGACGGGUAGCCGGCCUGAGAGGGUGACCGGCCACACUGGGACUGAGAUACGGCCCAGACUCCUACGGGAGGCAGCAGUGGGGAAUAUUGCACAAUGGGCGCAAGCCUGAUGCAGCGACGCCGCGUGAGGGAUGACGGCCUUCGGGUUGUAAACCUCUUUCAGCAGGGACGAAGCGCAAGUGACGGUACCUGCAGAAGAAGGACCGGCCAACUACGUGCCAGCAGCCGCCGUAA
rnacentral:rRNA from 1 species